rnacentral:rRNA from 1 species
AGGUCACUGACAUUAGAUACCCCCGUAGUCCCAGCCGUAAACAAUGUGCGUUAGGUGUGUCGGUAACCACGCGUUACUGAUGCGCCGAAGAGAAAUCGUGAAACGCACCACCUGGGAAGUACGGUCGCAAGGCUGAAACUUAAAGGAAUUGGCGGGGAGCACCACAACAGGUGGAGCCUGCGGUUUAAUUGGAUUCAACGCCGGACAUCUCACCGGAUAAGACAGCUGAAUGAUUGUCAAUCUGAAGGUUUUACAUGACUAGCUG